rnacentral:lncRNA from 1 species
UUAGCACUACUCUAGAGAGCCGAAUCUUAUUAAGUGAAAGUUAAAGGGAAGAGAAAAACCACAUCAAAUUGGUCAUGUCGAUACCUAAAGGAGAAACUAGGGGCGGCGACGACUGUUGACAGGUCGUUCCUAGAUCUUGAACCAGAAAAUCUGAUCGGCGCACGGAUAAGACAAAUGCGUGUGGCCAGAGACGAUCAGUUCGGGGUGAUCUACGUGACUGGAGAGGAGCUGAAUCUGACACCAGAAAAUCCAUUCACCAUAUCAAUGCCAAGAGAAGCACGGUUGUGCGAGAAAGGACCAGUGGUGUUUGGAACAAGCACAGCAUGGAUCUGAAUGGAUCUGACAGGAGAAGACGAACCAACACGACCGUCAGCUGGAUUGCAGGAAGCUAAAUACGCAACGUUUUCGACCAAUUUUAGGCCAAUUUUCAUUAGAUCCAUACCAAAUCUUAGCAAACGUAAGCUUCUCUGCUGAUUCCUAGCUAAUUCUUAUAGAC